CAAAUUGAGAGUUUGAUCCUGGCUCAGGAUGAACGCUGGCGGCGUGCCUAAUACAUGCAAGUCGAACGCUUUGUGGUUCAACUGAUUUGAAGAGCUUGCUCAGAUAUGACGAUGGACAUUGCAAAGAGUGGCGAACGGGUGAGUAACACGUGGGAAACCUACCUCUUAGCAGGGGAUAACAUUUGGAAACAGAUGCUAAUACCGUAUAACAAUGACAACCGCAUGGUUGUUAUUUAAAAGAUGGUUCUGCUAUCACUAAGAGGUGGUCCCGCGGUGCAUUAGCUAGUUGGUAAGGUAAUGGCUUACCAAGGCGAUGAUGCAUAGCCGAGUUGAGAGACUGAUCGGCCACAAUGGGACUGAGACACGGCCCAUACUCCUACGGGAGGCAGCAGUAGGGAAUCUUCCACAAUGGGCGAAAGCCUGAUGGAGCAACGCCGCGUGUGUGAUGAAGGGUUUCGGCUCGUAAAACACUGUUGUAAGAGAAGAAUGACAUUGAGAGUAACUGUUCAAUGUGUGACGGUAUCUUACCAGAAAGGAACGGCUAAAUACGUGCCAGCAGCCGCGGUAAUACGUAUGUUCCAAGCGUUAUCCGGAUUUAUUGGGCGUAAAGCGAGCGCAGACGGUUAUUUAAGUCUGAAGUGAAAGCCCUCAGCUCAACUGAGGAAUUGCUUUGGAAACUGGAUGACUUGAGUGCAGUAGAGGAAAGUGGAACUCCAUGUGUAGCGGUGAAAUGCGUAGAUAUAUGGAAGAACACCAGUGGCGAAGGCGGCUUUCUGGACUGUAACUGACGUUGAGGCUCGAAAGUGUGGGUAGCAAACAGGAUUAGAUACCCUGGUAGUCCACACCGUAAACGAUGAGUGCUAGGUGUUUGAGGGUUUCCGCCCUUAAGUGCCGCAGCUAACGCAUUAAGCACUCCGCCUGGGGAGUACGACCGCAAGGUUGAAACUCAAAGGAAUUGACGGGGACCCGCACAAGCGGUGGAGCAUGUGGUUUAAUUCGAAGCAACGCGAAGAACCUUACCAGGUCUUGACAUCCCUUGACAACUCCAGAGAUGGAGCGUUCCCUUCGGGGACAAGGUGACAGGUGGUGCAUGGUUGUCGUCAGCUCGUGUCGUGAGAUGUUGGGUUAAGUCCCGCAACGAGCGCAACCCUUAUUACUAGUUGCCAGCAUUUAGUUGGGCACUCUAGUGAGACUGCCGGUGACAAACCGGAGGAAGGUGGGGAUGACGUCAAAUCAUCAUGCCCCUUAUGACCUGGGCUACACACGUGCUACAAUGGCGUAUACAACGAGUUGCCAACCCGCGAUGGUGAGCUAAUCUCUUAAAGUACGUCUCAGUUCGGAUUGUAGGCUGCAACUCGCCUACAUGAAGUCGGAAUCGCUAGUAAUCGCGGAUCAGCACGCCGCGGUGAAUACGUUCCCGGGUCUUGUACACACCGCCCGUCACACCAUGAGAGUUUGUAACACCCAAAGCCGGUGGGGUAACCUUCGGGAGCCAGCCGUCUAAGGUGGGACAGAUGAUUAGGGUGAAGUCGUAACAAGGUAGCCGUAGGAGAACCUGCGGCUGGAUCACCUCCUUU
rnacentral:rRNA from 1 species